AGGGAUGUAGCUUAGUGGCAGAGUGUGUGCUUAGCAUGCAUGAGGUCCUGGGUUCAAUCCCCAGCAUCUCCA